rnacentral:rRNA from 1 species
CCUACGGGUGGCAGCAGUGGGGAAUAUUGGGCAAUGGGCGCAAGCCUGACCCAGCAACGCCGCGUGAAGGAAGAAGGCUUUCGGGUUGUAAACUUCUUUUCUCAGGGACGAAGCAAGUGACGGUACCUGAGGAAUAAGCCACGGCUAACUACGUGCCAGUAGCCGCGGUAAUACGUAGGUGGCAAGCGUUAUCCGGAUUUACUGGGUGUAAAGGGCGUGUAGGCGGGGACGCAAGUCAGAUGUGAAAACCACGGGCGCAACCUGUGGCCUGCAGUUGAAACGGGAUUUCUGGAGUACUGGAAAGGAAGACGGAAUGCCUGGGGGAGCGGUGAAAGGCGUAGAUAUUAGGAGGAAAGCC